UGAUGGUCGAUUAAGGACAAGUGGUGAGGCUUCUCCAAGGAGUACUAAGAAAGAUUGGGUAUAGUGGAUGAGGCAUUUUGUUAUUGAGCUUCUUAAAGAAUCCCAAUCUCCAUCUUUUUUUCCUUGCCUUGUGCGGGGCUUGCGCAAUUACAGACUUUGUGAGUUGCUUGGCUCAGUUGACGAUAAAUUUUUAUGAGAAGCUUCUAGUACCUGGUCUCAAAGUGGAUGGGUGAAAAUGAGAAUCGAUUCUUUAAGUGGCCAGCGCGGGGAAGGAAAUGAGAAUGAAGCUUCUCGACGGAUCAAAACGGAACUUCUUGUACAAAUGCAGGAUUGCCUACAUCUAGUUUUCUGAUGCCCAAGCUUCCAACAAAAGCAAAGCCUGCAAAGGAUAUAAAGCUUAGUUGCGGUUAUUGAAUAAUGUUCUAUUUCAUCAAAAAGGGUGGAGAACAAAGCAGCUAAGAUUUGGAUUUGGAGGGGGCAGGGUUUAAGUUUAUAUACGUGUUAGAAAAAUAAAGGGACCGCAUACUUUGAGUAUGCAUCCCGACCACAUC